AAUAGCGCAGCCACCCGCAGUCCUGCACGACCUUGCCUCCUCGAUCCCAUCUCGACAUCCAUCCCGCCGCCACCACCUGCCCCGCCCCGCCGUGCGCCGCCCGCCGUCACCGCGCCUGCGCCGCCCGCCGCAUCUGCGCCUGCGCCGACGUCCCCUGUAUCCAUGCUCCACUGUCCGAAUCCCGCCGACGCGCCCGUCCCGCUCACCGUGGCCGAUGAUCGUUUCCCUCCCCAAACGACAGCCAUAAUGAAGGGCGUCGCCCAGCUCCUAACCGGCGGAUGGACUUGCCGGGUCCCCGCUCCUCGGGGCCAGCCCCUCCUCCGUGGAUCGCGCAUCGGCUUGGAGGCCCCUCGGGGCUGCCGCCGGUGCGGGAGUCCUACGCGGCCGUGCGGGCUGGGGACCGAGCGGCGGGGCCCGUGUGCGUUCCCGGCGAAGGCUUGCUGGGGUUGGCCGGGAUCUGAGGAUGGUUGAUAUGUUCAUGUCCAUGAUGCAGUUCCACCUCUCUCCGUAGCACAAAACUUUUCUUGCCACACAUUAUGCAAGUCAUCCUCAUUGAUCAUACAUUUAUAAUUUCUUCACGGUUCAGUAUAUCACAUAUAUUAGGAUGUUAACGCCACUCAUGGGUUGGAUGCUAUAGCAUAAGGAAAAUUGAUAGCCAGCCAUGAUCGUCCAUCCAUCAAUUUAGUUUGCUUUUUCUUCUGUUGUUAGUUUCUACUACUUUGAUAGCUAAGUGAUGUCUACCUGAAGCUGUGAACCUUAUGAACCCUGAUCUGAAUCUUGGUGUUUGCGAAUUCUGAAUGAAGGGCAUGCAACCAGUCCUUCUAAAUGAAUUUGUCGAUGAGUGUGUUGCAUUGUUGAUUUCAUGGUUAUUCUUCAUUUUGGAUGCAUGGCUAUUCUUGGGUUUGAGCCAUAGGCAUGCAGCAAUGAAAUCUAAUUGCAUUGAUGCCGAGAGGCGAGAGGAAAGUUCUCGCCUUGGGAUGGAUCCAGGUCAGGGAGGAUUGGAGAUUGAAUGAAUUUGCUGGGCUUUUUUUCAUUCUACCUGGGUUGAAUACUUUAUUGAAAACCAUACACAUCAAUUUUGUACAGGAAUCUUAUCCCAAUAUUUUUGACCACUACUGUACUUCGAUUUCGACAACAAAAGUUGUUUCAGUUUGCUAUGUGUCAGUUCACCAACAGGAGAGAAACCAUGCAACUUGGAACAUUAAAAGCUCAAGAUCGGCAACACCACCAUCAUGCAUCAUCCAAGCUGCUGUCCAGCUACCUUUGACACCUGCCGAGAGAGCAUCUAUCACGAUGAUCAUGAGAGAGCAGGUUAGGCAUGUUAUCACUUAUCAGCACGAUUUUGAAUGUAUCGGUUUGACAUAAUGCCUGGCCAUGGUGCCAUGUACAAGUCACAACAGUGGCAUGCCAAGUUGCAUAUAAUGCAAUUUUUAUUCUACUUUCACAAAUUUGGUAUCUCUAGCACUCCUGAUUAGCCCUGGGAGAAGGUGGAUUUGCAAUUUACAUGGCUUUACCUAUUUCUUGAACUGAAUAGGGCGAAUUGUAGCAAAAACGUGAACACUAAUGUGUUCAUGAUGGUAUUGCCUACAUUAUGUAUGUUUUUGCCAUUGUAAAAGUUAUCUGUCACAAAAAAUAAAACACAUGGUUUCUUAGUUGCCAGUCUAUAUCUCAAAUGCGGACUUUUAUGUUUUGAUAAAUGCAUUGUCGUUCAUAAUUAUCCUUUCUAGGUAAGCUCCUUAAUUUUUAAGCUAACAAAGCAGAAAAUGUCUAUUGCUCAGGUGUAACGCCCCGAGACCGACGCUCCAGACGCUUUCCAUGUUUUGCUUUGUUGCCGCGUGUUAUUUUUGUUUGUUGCAUUUCAUCAUAGCAUCAUGCACUUUGCAUCUGCAUGUUCUCAUAAAGUUUGCAUUCGUUCGUAGUUGCCGCGUCCCUCCUCGCCUCCGUUGACCUUUCUCAGUCCAACCGUUCUUUGUUGUCCGACCGUCUGAGCCUCUCUGCACAAUGCACAAAACCCCUUCUCGCGCGCGUCCGAAAGUUGUCCCGUACCUGACCCGGUUUGUUGUUACCAUUGGGUCCGGAUCAUCCCCUAACAUCUAUAAAACAUCUCCGUUUUGUUAUUUGGACUCCCUACCUAUUUUUCUCAGCCGUUCGAUUAUGAUCGUAGGGAUGAGGUAUCCCCUAACCUAAAUUCAUCUGAUAUAAAUAUCAUUAUAACCCUAGAUCCUAGGGGCUUGUCCCAUCAUUCCCUCCUAGCCGCCGCCACUCUCUCCCAAAUCCUUCUCGGGAUCCCUCCCAGACAGACCCGCGGCCUCCAAUCCACCUCGUCUUCUGCACCCAACCAACCAGCGCCGCUCGUCGUUCUCCUUGCGCUCGACUCCCUCAGCCACGAGCUCGAUCAGGAGAGGAGCUCCCGAUCGUGCGUGCCUCUGCCUCGUUUCUGACCAUCGCCGACGCUGCCGGCGCCCACCACCAGGGGCACAAGCAUCUGGCACGCCUCUUCGCUUCCUCCAUCCAUGGAGACAAGCUCCUCCCGAACCAGGCUGUGCCCCUGUUUCCUUCUCUCUCCCUCGAGUUCUUUCUCUCUGGUUCCUCAAGUUCCCUUUCUUCUCUCUGUUCCACAGGACGCCAUGGAUGCAACAGCUCGACCCCGCCGCGGCCUCAAGUCCUCUGCUCCAGUCAUCAUCGCCGGAUCGCGCCACCAUAGAGCCGCAGUCGAGCCCCAUGGCGCCCGUUGUCAGUGACCCCGAGCGCGUCUGAGAUGCCCUUCCUCCGCUGGCCUCCUUCGAGCGCCGCCCCUUCCUCCUCUACUCCAACCCACGCCUCCGGCGGCCUCCUCCUCGACGCCUAGGUGAGCAGCAGCUCCACCGGCGGCCACCUCUAGCAGGCCCGUGCCGCGCCUCCUUCCCUUCCCUCUCCCUCACUCUCUCUGCCUGACGCUCCUGACCGAUCGCUCGCCGCCGUCCGUCAAGCCUCUGCGCCGCCGCGCCAAGUCCCCUGUGUCGAGCCGCCGCAUCCGCCGCUGCGGUCCCGCCGUGCUGCGCCCCUGCUUCGUCUCGCUGAUGGUGGAGCAGCGAGCCAGCGCCCGCAACCUUUGCCCCGCUCGCUCGUGUUGACCCCGCCCCAGUUCGCGUGGACCGGUCAACUCCGUCCCCUGGGCCGGCCCUUCUCCUCCUCUGCUUCCAGCCGGGCCUUGGCCCAUGGUGAGAAGCCCCUCCAGCCCCUCUCUUGUACGCUGUUGGUCCAUCAGUUUCGGCCCGUGCAUGUUUUUUUCCCUUGCUGCGAAUUUAUCUAAUUAUCCAGUAAACUGCAUGUUUACAGAUUGCACCCUCAUGUUCAUGCAUAUCAUAACUCACAAAUGGUGCAUCGGAUUAAAAUGAUUUAAAUAUGUAAAGUGCUUAGAAUUUUGUCUAGUUUCAUAAUAUGCCACUUUCAUCCAUGUUUAAAAUGUUUAACCUUGCUGUUUGUUUGAUUUUGCGUAAAUGCCAUGUUAAAAUGAUUUAUUUCAUAACUAAUUAACCGUAGAUCCGAAUUUAAUAAACUUUAUAUGUAAAUGGGGUAGAAAAAUGCCUAGUUUAACAUGGUACACUUUA